GUGGGGAAUUUUGGACAAUGGGCGCAAGCCUGAUCCAGCAAUGCCGCGUGCAGGAAGAAGGCCUUCGGGUUGUAAACUGCUUUUGUACGGAACGAAAAGGCUCUGGUUAACACCUGGGGCUCAUGACGGUACCGUAAGAAUAAGCACCGGCUAACUACGUGCCAGCAGCCGCGGUAAUACGUAGGGUGCAAGCGUUAAUCGGAAUUACUGGGCGUAAAGCGUGCGCAGGCGGUUUUGUAAGACAGACGUGAAAUCCCCGGGCUCAACCUGGGAAUGGCGUUUGUGACUGCAAAGCUGGAGUGCGGCAGAGGGGGAUGGAAUUCCGCGUGUAGCAGUGAAAUGCGUAGAUAUGCGGAGGAACACCGAUGGCGAAGGCAAUCCCCUGGGCCUGCACUGACGCUCAUGCACGAAAGCGUGGGGAGCAAACAGGAUUAGAUACCCGAGUAGUCC
rnacentral:rRNA from 1 species